AAAUUGUUGCACCGUGUUCUUUUAGAAAAUCCUAAUAGUAGAACUCAGAGAAUGACACGUAUGUCAUCCACCAUUACUUAACAUUUUUUCGGAUUAAAAGUUCAAUAGAGCUCGGAAUGUUAUUUCUAUCAUUAAUUUUCUCAUAUGUGUAGUUCAGAGUUCAGACUUGACUACAAUGGAAUAAUUAAUGUUUCUUUGAUAUUGUGCUUUACACCCCAAAAGGCAGUUCACGAUCAUAGCAUUUUCUCAACUUUCUCGGUGGAUUGCCUUGAGCAUCGAAAGGGGAUUCACAGAUGGUGCAGGUGCAACUCUGACAUAGUCCCAUGUUGAGCCUGCAGAUUUGGCUUUUCAGGAAAUUCGUUCUAAAAAAUACUCAUUCUUUGCAAGCUUUCUACUUUUACCAAGGUAAGAAAUUUGAAUUUAUUUUGUACUGUAAUUUAUGGUCUAAGAUGAAGGUGUAUGUUGUUCUGACCUUCACAUUAUUAUGUUAUAUAUGUUCCAUAGCUCAUGCAUAUGGCUUAUUGAUCAUUAUCUCAUUCCCACAUAUUAGUAUGAUGGAAAUUGAAGCAAUCUUAUUAGUCACUUAUUUGAUUGUUAUUUUCUUAAUUAAUUAUAUUAUCUCUUUGCACAUUAAUAAUUAAUUGUUACGAUAUCUAAAGAAACUAUUUAUUUAGUAUGGUUGUGUAUAACACAUGAUUUAAUUUAGUUUUUUUGUUUGGGAGGUAACACAAGAUUAUCUUGAUUGAAAACAUCUAUUUCUAUUUGGACCAUACUCAUGUAUUCCUAUUGAUAAUCACCCCCCUUAUAUCCACACAAAAUUACUUGCUCACACUUCCGCAGCAACGCGCGGGGGGUCAUCUAGUUGAGUUAAUUUGCUUGCUGAAAUUAGGUUGAUGCCUUGUGUACUGUUUUUCUUGAUAUGUUUGAUGUUCAUCGAUCGUCCAGAUUUACUAGCACACCAAAUAGAAUUUGGGACUGAUGCCAUUCAAUAGAUUUUCUAGACAUUUUAUUGUGUCUCAUGCUGAAAAAGAAAAUGCACAAUGAGCUUGUUUGACUUUUUUGAUGCUUAGAGUAUACUUGAUCAGGGGGCAGUGUUAUUUCCUGUGAUCUUUCAUGUCAUUUGCUAGUGUGAUGCUUCAAGAUGACAAAUUUAAAAACCUAAACUAUUGUAAAUAAGCGUUCUGCAUCUUGAGCAUUUAAAUGUGAGCACUUAACCAUUGUACAACUUUUGCAUAUUUUGUUUUGUAUUUCUUUUAUAAAUGAUGAUAGUCUAUGCAAGAUGUACACAUGUUAAUUUUUGUUGACUUGAAUCUGUUAUGCCCUUGAUUUUUUUACUUAGCUUAACCCAGAACAACAACAUCCUUGAUAUUUACUGAUCCCCACCUCACUCUUUGCACUCGCAGACUUGAAGGCAUCUAUCGUCCCAGCAUUCAGAAUGGAGAAACUAGUGAGUUUCAUAUAUGAUCUGAAUGAAAUGUUUAGGACUUGCGGCAGUGGACUUUGCUACUGGUGCGAUCUAUUUCCUGUUUUUGUCUACUAAUCAUCAGUUACUAGAAUUUACCUUCUGCCUGCUACUUCUUGUUUCUUGACGCCACUAGUUUAUACUGAAAUGUGGAGACUUUACACCUUGCAAGAUCAUUCGGUGGUGGUGACCCAUAUGAUGGCGAUUCGCUCCGGCCAUUCCAGUUUUGGCGGUGGUGGUGUUGCUGCUCCUAUGAUGGUAGACUCGUCUGAUUCCCCUAGUCGCAUCCAUGGUGAUGAAGCUCGGCCUAGGCUAGAACCCCCUCCGGUGAGCUCCUCACGUCCUCUUAUACCCCUUCUACUUGCUUGUUGGUUCUAUGCUCCACCUUUGUGAGGUGUAAUUGUUCAAUUUUGUUCAUAGUCGAGCAUUGGAUGAUAAUGGAAUUGUCAUGAUGUACAUGGUUCAUGAACUAUGCCAACCUGCAGCUUUGUUGUACUAGUAGUUUUCACAAUCCAUGCAUAUUUCCGCAUCAUAAUAAUCUUAUUUUUCUAGUCUUCUUCUUCUAACUUUCUUCUUUCCCAUUUUACAGAUUUGCUUAAGAUUACGGAAGAAUGGGUUGAUGGAGUGCUUGUAUUUAGUUUUUGUUUUGACCUUGUAAAACUUGCUACCUAUGGAUGAAACUGUGUAAUAUUGAUGAAACUAUGUAUAUGUACGGAUGAAACAUGCUACUAUUGGUAACAUGUGUUGGAUAUAUAUGUGUUCAAGACUAAUGGUAAUAUGUGUUGAAUAUGCUAUAUUGGUCAUAUAAAUAUAUUUGUGUUUGAUUUUCUGUGAAAAUGAACUGAUAUAAGAAAAAACAAAAUUAAAUGGGGCAAUAUAAUCACUUUGCCAUCUGCUGGCAGAUGGCAAAGAGCUUUGCCAUUAGCUGGCAGAUGGCAAAGAGGCCACGUGUCAUCUACAUGUAAAAUUUGGG
rnacentral:lncRNA from 1 species